ACAUACCGGACGCAGAGGUUGUGCACCUGGUGUGAAGAUUACUGCUGGCACUCCUAUCACCCAAGUCAGCUAAAGUGGUGGAAACAGACGGGAUAUUCCGCUUACCCAAACCUGUCAAGGCCCCAAUCCACUACACCGCGAGACGUACUGGUAAGGUUCCAGAGAGGCAAGGACAAAACAGCAGUCCUAAAGGCUGUACGCGACCACUCACCAUACCCGUUCGAGAGUGUCACUUUCCUUCUAUGCGGACGUAUCGGGAAGUACUCUGGCAUGGCGCCACUCAC